UCGGGAAUUUUGGGCAAUGGGCGAAAGCCUGACCCAGCAACGCCGCGUGAGGGAUGAAGUAUUUCGGUAUGUAAACCUCGAAAGAAUGGGAAGAAUAAAUGACGGUACCAUUUAUAAGCUCCGGCUAACUACGUGCCAGCAGCCGCGGUAAUACGUAGGGAGCAAGCGUUGUUCGGAUUUACUGGGCGUAAAGGGCGCGUAGGCGGCGCGGUAAGUCACUUGUGAAAUCUCUGAGCUUAACUCAGAACGGCCAAGUGAUACUGCUGUGCUGGAGUGCGGAAGAGGCAACCGGAAUUCUUGGUGUAGCGGUGAAAUGCGUAGAUAUCAAGAGGAACACCUGAGGCGAAGGCGGGUUGCUGGGCCGACACUGACGCUGAUGCGCGAAAGCCAGGGGAGCAAACG
rnacentral:rRNA from 1 species